rnacentral:rRNA from 1 species
GUAUGGGCGCAGGCCUGAACCAGCCAGUAGCGUGAAGGAUGACUGCCCUAUGGGUUGUAAACUUCUUUUAUAAAGGAAUAAAGUCGGGUAUGUAUACCCGUUUGCAUGUACUUUAUGAAUAAGGAUCGGCUAACUCCGUGCCAGCAGCCGCGGUAAUACGGAGGAUCCGAGCGUUAUCCGGAUUUAUUGGGUUUAAAGGGAGCGUAGAUGGAUGUUUAAGUCAGUUGUGAAAGUUUGCGGCUCAACCGUAAAAUUGCAGUUGAUACUGGAUAUCUUGAGUGCAGUUGAGGCAGGCGGAAUUCGUGGUGUAGCGGUGAAAUGCUUAGAUAUCACGAAGAACUCCGAUUGCGAAGGCAGCCUGCUAAGCUGCAACUGACAUUGAGGCUCGAAAGUGUGGGUAUCAAACAGGAUUAGAUACCCUGGUAGUCCAAGGGCGAAUUC